rnacentral:lncRNA from 10 species
CCAAGUUCAGCUGUAUGCGGUCACCCUGAGAUUCCUUCCUACUUGAUUAUUUCUCACAGACUUAACCAAGAAAAUAUCGUUCUGGAAGAUUGCUAGGCAGGCUUUUCCAUUGCAUUGCAGGACAACUCAGAUAAUGCAGGUCCAGUCCUCUGAGUCAUCCAGUGUGGGCUGGAGGUUUGGAACCUGGAAAUGUCUGAUCUAGGCAAGUAAUAAGCUGACGUCAAAAGACUUGGUGCACAGGUCUAUUGAAGCACCUAAGAGGAAAGACACUUCUUCAAACCUCAAAUGCUCUUUACAUCCAGCAAAUCUGGACUGGAAGUCGUUCAAUAAGAUGACUUCCCAUGAAAUGUCUGGUACUUCAUGUUUCCCGUCAGGUCAUAAAUGCCACGAGAACAGCUUUUCCUCCUCCAUUUAAAUUUGUCCAGUGCCAGUUUUGGUCUUGUCCCAAAGCCAAAAACUUUGGAGACAUUGACAGAAAAGAAAGUAAUUAACCAUAUUGGAAGAGCCCAGAGAGUUCUGUGUAGAUUCUGCUGUAGAUGCUGAAUCUGGCUCUGUCACCCAGACUGCAGUGCAGUGGCACAAUCUCAGCUCACUGCAACCUCUGCCUCCCAGGUUCAAGCGAUUCUCCUGCCUCAGCCUCCCGAGUAGCUGGAGUUACAGGCAUAAACCACCAUGCCUGGCUAAUUUUUGUAUUUUUAGUAGAGAUGGGGUUUCACCACUUUUGGCCAGGCUGGUCUUGAAGUCCUGACCUCAGGUGAUUCGCCUGCCUAGGCCUCCCAAAGUGAGGGGGUUAUAGGCGGGAUCCACCAUGCCCAGCCUAAACUAUGCUUUUGAUUGUUAUUUUAGAGUGUACUUUGUCUACUUAUUGAAAAAAGAAAAAAAAGUGAACUGUAAAACAGCCUCAAGCAGGUCCUUCAGGAGGUAUCCAGAAGAAGGCAUUGUCAUAGGAGAUGACAGCUCCAUGCGUGUUAUUGCUCCUGAAGACCUUCCAGGAGUAGGUGCAGAGGAAUCCAAGGUGUAGGGAAUGAAAGAGCCACAAGAUGUAAGAAACCUCAGUUCCUCAAUGUAGACAUGGAAGAAAGCUUCCGGGAGCAGGCUCACUGGAUUUGGUCACAUAAUGAUCACAGAAUAAACUCUUGUGGUGAUCACUUGAAGGAACACUGCCCCAGAGGGUGAAGGUUCUCUGGGCCAGAAGCUCAUGACCAGAUGAUCCAGCAACAGGACUGAGGGUGCCUGGGGCAAGCGCCAUCUGAUGUCAUCACCCUCACAGAGACCUGGAAUCAGUGAAACUACAAAUGGUACUGCAGAUGGAACCUCGGAUGACUUCAACCAGCACCUAUUAUCAAGGACCCCUAGACUAGCCUGCCAGCCCAUACCCAGAUAUUGACACCCAAACCACCUCUCAUGAGGAAACCUCAGCUGCAGGGACCCUUCUAUGCCCCUACUCAGCAGGAAGCAGUUUCAGCGGUCAUCGUCCCACACCCAACAGCAGUUGGGCUCUCCUGUUGAGAGGGGAGACUGAGGGGUAGAGUUGGUGGGACUUCCUGGGCCGAUUGAAGGACUUUUGCAAAAGACCCCUGUGACUCAGGGUUUUGAGUUCUUAACCAUUCGAGUGAAGGAUUCAAAAUUAACCACUCUGAGGGAAGAUUGAAAAAAGAACCACUCUCAAUGGGCAAAAAGAAAGAAAGGGGAGGGGGUAACAUAGGGAUAUAAGCCCUAGCCAUCCGAGCCAGCAACAGCAACCCUUCUGGGUCCCCAUCCACCACGUGGAAGCUUUCCCUUCACUUUGUUCAAUAAACUGCACUGUUCCUCACUCUCCUGGUCCAUGGACUCUUUUUGGACUGUUAACACUCACCACGAAAGUCUGCAGCUUCAUUCUUCAAAGUUAGCAAGACCACUAAUGCAUCAGCAGGAAAAACUCCUGACUGAAUAUGACCCAACAAUUCCAUACCUAAGUAUAUAGCCAAGGGAAAUGAAUUCAUAUAUCUU